rnacentral:rRNA from 1 species
ACUCCUACGGGGGGCAGCAGUGAGGAAUAUUGGUCAAUGGAGGCAACUCUGAACCAGCCAUGCCGCGUGCAGGAAGACUGCCCUAUGGGUUGUAAACUGCUUUUAUACAGGUAGAAACAGAACUACGUGUAGCGCGGUGACGGUACCGUAAGAAUAAGGAUCGGCUAACUCCGUGCCAGCAGCCGCGGUAA